UCCUUGGUGGCUCAGACGGUAAAGCGUCUGCCUGCAAUGCGGGAGACCCGGGUUCGAUUCCUGGGUCGGGAA
rnacentral:tRNA from 1 species